rnacentral:rRNA from 1 species
CCUACGGGAGGCAGCAGUGGGGAAUAUUGCACAAUGGGGGAAACCCUGAUGCAGCGACGCCGCGUGAGUGAAGAAGUAUCUCGGUACGUAAAGCUCUAUCAGCAGGGAAGAAAAUGACGGUACCUGACUAAGAAGCCCCGGCUAACUACGGGCCAGCAGCCGCGGUAAUACGUAGGGGGCAAGCGUUAUCCGGAUUUACUGGGUGGAAAGGGAGCGUAGACGGCAGCACAAGUCUGGAUUGAAAUCCAGGGGCUUAACCCCGGAACUGCUUUGGAAACUGUGCGGCUGGAGUGCAGGAGGGGUAAGCGGAAUUCCUAGUGUAGCGGUGAAAUGCGUAGAUAUUAGGAGGAACACCGGUGGCGAAGGCGGCUUACUGGACUGUAACUGACGUUGAGGCUCGAAAGCGUGGGGAGCAAACAGGAUUAGAUACCCCAGUAGUC